GAUAACAGGCUGAUCUUCCCCAAGAGUCCACAUCGACGGGAAGGUUUGGCACCUCGAUGUCGGCUCUUCGCCACCUGGAGCUGUCAGGGCUCCGGCUGCAUCUACGCGCCAAGCAUACGUAUGGGGUGUCAUGGUUGCCGCGGGACAUGCC
rnacentral:ncRNA from 1 species